UAUCCAUGUGCCAGAGCCAUGAGUUGGUUGCGAGAUCUUAUGGGUUUUACCUCUAGCCUACCCCAACUUGUUUGGGACUAAAGGCUUUGUUGUUGUUGUUGUUGUUGUUGUUGUUGUGGAUUGCAGUAGCGACCAGGGUGGUGGCGACGACCAGGGCCCCUGCUCCUGGCUGCGCAACAGGAACAAGCGAUUGGCUGCCAAGGGGUGCAGUUGUUGCUCAUCGCCAUCUACCUUCUGUAAUCCCAUCUCCUACAAUCUUCGCGUUUACGAUCACUGUCACCUCCUUUCUUAGUCAGCACGGAGGCAGUUGUGGUUGUCUGAUACGAGGCGAUGGCUGCUGCACCCAAUGCCUUCUCGGCUCAUUUGGAGAAGUAGAUCGUUGAGCAGAUAAAAGAUUCCAUCGUUUUUGUGGAUGUCUUUCCCAACUUGGACUACAAAGACGAUUUGGAAAAUCUUAUGGCUGCGGUGAAAACUGUUCCAGUGAAGAAAAGAGAAGAGGUGCUGAAACAGGGACAAUCUGGCACUGGCUCUGUUGUGGGAGUUACAGAAGAUGAAAUCACCAUCCUAUCAAGUGCCCAUCUCAUUGAGCAUGUCUUCACAGUAUCAAAGCCCAUUUCCGUUCGUGACGCCAAUACAUAUUUCUAUACAAGUGUACUUUGCGAUCACUAUGAGGCUAGUUUCAGUGAACCUGGGCAAAGGAGACAUAGUCAAAGGGUGUAUGGCGCAGCUACAAUUAUUGGCAUAGAUUGUGCACAGGACUUACUCCUCAUCUCUGUCCCACGAGUAAAUAUCAUGAACUUGGCGAGGAAGUGCAAUGCCAAUCAUCCUCCUCUUACCUUCAGUUCAGUCCCCCCCAGUGCAACUUGAUGAGUGUGUUAUGCUCUCGUGGCCUCCAUUGCAGCACCGGACUGUGGUUAAGGGUAGUAUCUGUCACAUGGAAAGAGCACUCUAUGAUUCAGUGAAGGAGGAGAACAACCCUGUUGGGUAUGGGAUGAAUCUCAUGCAAGUAAAUAUCGCGAGUGAGAAAUGGAGCUCUGGAGCUCCACUAUUGGAUGGCAGGGGAAAUGUUAUUGGGAUCCUACAUGGAGGCUUGGGAGGUCCAUUCUCUUACUUUGUCUUGCUCCGUCGCAUACUACCGUUCCUGAGAAAACAUGGCAUAAAUCCGCGUGUGGGGUAGUAAUUUGUCCAUGCUCAUUCCUGUCCAGAGGACAUGCCACUCCCACAGCUAUUGGUGUUUCUUGACAGCAAUGUUGGUUCGACUGCUUCAUUGGCAAGUACAUGCACAAAUGGAGGCCACCCUGCAGCAGUUCAUGAAGUUGCAGCCAAGUUAUCUCUCUGUUGACAAACAUUAUCUUACGUCGCUCUCUGGUUUGAACUCCAUGUUAGGAUAUACUACGUGAUGUUUCUGUCUUAUCUAAACCGAGCUCUGCCUUCUGUUACCAGUUGAGUUUAUGAGUUACGGGGUCCACAGGGCCAACCUUGGGCAUCGAUGCUAUUUUGCUUAAGAUAUACUCCCUCCGU